rnacentral:misc_RNA from 1 species
GAAAUGCGAUAAGUAAUGUGAAUUGCAGAAUUCAGUGAAUCAUCGAAUCUUUGAACGCACAUUGCGCCCGCCAGCACUCUGGCGGGCAUGCCUGUUCGAGCGUCAUUUCAACCCUCAGAACCCCUUGCGGGAUCUGGCGUUGGGGAUUGGCAUCCAGCCAGCCCCGAAAUCUAGUGGCGGUCCCUCCGCGACCUCCCCUGUGCAGUAGCGAUAUCUCGCAGCGGGACAGCGGUCUGACCACGCCGUAAAACCCCCAACUUCUCAAGGUUGACCUCGAAUCAGGUAGGAAUACCCGCUGGACUUAAGC